GGCCUCGCAGGAUCGUAUCUGGAGAAUAACCAGUAUUCUGCCAGCUUCCGAGACCGGAGGCAAAACAAGCCUGUCAGAGACCCAUUCCAUUCCCCCUUGCUCAGUAACUAGUGAGUGGAAGCUACUCUGCGACAGUG
ensembl:snoRNA